rnacentral:rRNA from 1 species
CCUACGGGUGGCAGCAGUGAGGAAUAUUGGUCAAUGGGCGAGAGCCUGAACCAGCCAAGUCGCGUGAAGGAUGAAGGAUCUAUGGUUUGUAAACUUCUUGUAUAUGGGAAUAAAGUGAGGAACGUGUUCCUUUUUGUAUGUACCAUAUGAAUAAGCAUCGGCUAACUCCGUGCCAGAAGCCGCGGUAAUACGGAGGAUGCGAGCGUUAUCCGGAUUUAUUGGGUUUAAGGGGUGCGUAGGUGGUUAAUUAAGUCAGCGGGUAAAGUUUGUGGCUCAACCAUAAAAUUGCCGUUGAAACUGGUUGACUUGAGUAUAUUUGAGGUAGGCGGAAUGCGUGGUGUAGCGGUGAAAUGCAUAGAUAUCACGAAGAACACCGAUUGCGAAGGCAGCUCACUGGACUGCAACUGACACUGAGGCUCGAAAGUGUGGGUAUCAAACAGGAUUAGAUACCCGUGUAGUC